rnacentral:rRNA from 1 species
GACGAACGCUGGCGGCGUGCUUAACACAUGCAAGUCGAACGGAAAGGCCCUGCUUUUGUGGGGUGCUCGAGUGGCGAACGGGUGAGUAACACGAGAGUAACCUGCCCUUGACUUUGGGAUAACUACAGGAAACUGGGGCUAAUACCGGCUAGGAGCUCCUGCUGCAUGGUGGGGGUUGGAAAGUUUCGGCGGUUGGGGAUGGACUCGCGGCGUAUCAGCUUGUUGGUGGGGUAGUGGCUUACCAAGGCGUUGACGGGUAGCCGGCCUGAGAGGGUGACCGGCCACAUUGGGACUGAGAUACGGCCCAGACUCCUACGGGAGGCAGCAGUGGGGAAUAUUGCACAAUGGGCGGAAGCCUGAUGCAGCAACGCCGCGUGCGGGAUGACGGCCUUCGGGUUGUAAACCGCUUUCGGCUGUGACGAAGCGUGAGUGACGGUAAUGGGUAAAGAAGCACCGGCUAACUACGUG